CGUGUAGGCGGCUUCGUGUGUCCCAUGUGAAAGCCCUCGGCUCAACCGGGGAACUGCAUGGGAAACUGCGGAGCUUGAGUCCGGGAGAGGAGAGCGGAAUUCCCAGUGUAGCGGUGAAAUGCGUAGAUAUUGGGAGGAACACCGGUGGCGAAGGCGGCUCUCUGGACCGGUACUGACGCUGAGACGCGAAAGCCAGGGGAGCGAAACG
rnacentral:rRNA from 1 species